AGUAAACAGCCAUUUUUGAGGGAGAAAAGGAAGAUGAAGAGAUCAGAGAUGGAAAGAAGGAAGAUGCCCUUCUGUCUUGGUGUUAAAAAAGGAAGAAAUACGUGGUCCAUUGGAGAGCUAAAUUAGUCCUGGUGUUCACUUUGUCAAUCUGUGCUUCGUGAUUGUGCUCCAGAAGUGGUCCACUAUGGGGUCUUACAACAUUUGGUUCAUCACAGGGAACUCUGUUCCCUCCAGACCACAAUUGGCGAAGAGAUCAGAGACUUUUAGGUGCUGAGAACAAAGAGAAGACACACAUAAGGAGUGAGACAGAAGGUCUGAACUGGAAGGACAGAGACAGAUGGACAGAGCUGGAGAGGGGAUGACCUGAAAAGACCGGUUUGAGAUAAGGAGAACAAAGAUGUUGAUGGCUCCAAGCUUCUCCCUAGCCUGUCAAGCAAAAAGCAUAAGGAGAAAAUGGAAAAGGCUCCAGCAAGUAAUCCGCUACUUUAUCUCCUGCUGUUUCAGAAUGAGGUGGAAACUUUCUCCAGUGCCCAUGUGUUGGAGACUCUUCCCCAUCUUUUCAUCUAUUAGUGUAGUGCCCAUCUCGACCAGCAAGGAAGACACAUCACCGUUGGAUUCUUCUCAACAGCCUUUAUUGCAGGAAAACCUCAUUCUUGAUGAGGGGGGCCCCGGGGGAAAAAGGCACUCCCCCUAAAUACAAGAAAGGCUGUGGUUGUAAAUUUGUCCUCCGGGGAUUGGUGGAGUAUGAAAUACCUUAUUAGCGUG
ensembl:lncRNA